AGCGAGCUCACGAUGCAGGCAACACGGCGCAAGUCUUGUCUCUAUCAACGACCAGGCCGAGAACAACUAUUUUGCAAAUCUGCUCUCGAAAUUUCCUGAUAAAAGGGCUGAGCCAUUAAUCUGGCUGGGUCUGCGUAAAGAAGCUG